GCCCCGAGAUGAGUUCUCCCUGACUCCUUGAGAGUCCUGAAGGAACGUUGAAGACGACGACGUUGAUAGGCCGGGUGUGUAAGCGCAGCGAUGCGUUGAGCUAACCGGUACUAAUGAACCGUGAGGCUUAACCUU
rnacentral:rRNA from 1 species